rnacentral:rRNA from 1 species
GUCGAGAAUUUUUCACAAUGGGCGAAAGCCUGAUGGAGCGACGCCGCGUGGGGGAUGAAGGGCUUCGGCUCGUAAACCCCUGUCAUUUGCGAACAAAGGCGCCGACCUAACACGUCGUCGUCUGAUAGUAGCAGAAGAGGAAGGGACGGCUAACUCUGUGCCAGCAGCCGCGGUAAUACAGAGGUCCCAAGCGUUGUUCGGAUUCACUGGGCGUAAAGGGUGCGUAGGUGGUGGACUAAGUCGGGUGUGAAAUCUCCGGGCUCAACCCGGAGGGUGCGCCCGAAACUGGUCUGCUAGAGGAUAGGAGGGGAGACUGGAAUUCUCGGUGUAGCAGUGAAAUGCGUAGAUAUCGAGAGGAACACCCGUGGCGAAGGCGAGUCUCUGGACUAUUCCUGACACUGAGGCACGAAAGCCGGGGGAGCAAACAGGAUUAGAAACCCCAGUAGUCC